rnacentral:lncRNA from 1 species
AAUGCACUGUUCGGUUCAACCGGCCAGGAUUGAAAACUGGGAUACAGUGAAACAGCCAGCCAAGAUUCAUAACAUGUUCAAUAGAUAAGCACAAUAUGACUUUAAUGUUCAAAACUAACAUCUGACUCUUAAUAACAAUUUCUGCACUAACAAAGUUAUGAUCAUAAAAAACAAUAAUUGAUAAUUUUUUUUUAGAAUUGACUUCCAUUCAAGGACAAUUGAUGAAAACCUUGUCAAAAUCUCAGCUGACUUUAGCCUUACAUUUGCAAACUGUCAAGAUGGUAAAAGCAAAAUUUUUCCUGGCUACUUGCACGGCGUGAUCACCGGCUCAAAGGCGCACACAUGUGCAUGACCACUCAUCUUUUUCCAAAAAAUGUCUACGGUCACUCAGACUCAAAGUGCUAAUAUCAUGUUUAAACUUGAAAUGCUUCCUAGAUCCAAAAUAUAAAUUACAAAAAUACCCAAAGGCAACAUCAACCAGAUCAAAACUCCAUUAAAUGCAAAAAUCAAAAAAGAACGUAAUCUAGCCUUCCAAUACUCCACUUAAUCGUAUGAAGCAAAACAACAAGCUCCCAGCAAUAUCUUUUAAGAACUGUCAAAGCCAUGUGCCUGCAGAAACCAAAUGUAUUAACUUAAUUGACCAAAUGACUUAUAGGACAGAUGUUUUGCAAAUAGAGUAGUAAUUUAGUAAAACUCAUCCAUUUACUUGUGCUGCUGACCGACUAUUUUUAGCUAAAUAUAAGAACAAGUAUUGGUCUUAGCACAAGUGAAGUCUUUAUUUAUGACAGGAGCAUAUCUCAGCUUUCGAUCUUACUAUGGAAGGACAGCAUAAUUGGCUAACAACAAACAUAUCCCUGACUAGAAAUACAUCUCUAUAGUCCAAAUCCUCUUACUAGCAACUCAACUAUCAAAAUAUUCUCAUCUCUAAGGGUUGAACAGGGCUAGAAAGUAGAACUGUCCUUAAUUUGUGACAACAUGUAUAGAAGAAACCCAAUUUCUCCUCCAUAGUGAUCCUAGUUUCAACAACAAGCCUUUUCCUUCUAAGGUAAGUUGCCAAAUCUCUAAAGAUGUAUGGUUCCAUCCUAAAUGCAACUUGACAGUUCUUGACAUGUCCCUCGAGGAGUCUACGAACUUUAACCUCGUCUGUUUCUUCCGAAGUAUGGCGUUUCCUCCUUUCUCCCCCUCUAACAGAACUCAUAAGAUAUAAGGCAGGGAAAAUAAAUAGCAUCAUGUCAUCAUCUUCCUCCUCCCUCCUCUUUCUAAUGCGAUCUCGCAGUGAUAGACUCAUUGUAGAACUGAAGCAUAUAAUUUUAUAAAAAAGCUAAAUAUUAUUAACCAUGUUAUAUAAAAGCUAAAUAUUUUGACAAUGUCGUAUAGAAGAUAAAUAUUAAGGAGUACCUUCUGGAGUUGGUACUGGAUCCCAAGAAGGCGGAGGUUCACCUUCCCCAACUCUAAAUGGUGGAGGAGAGAUCUACAAAUGACAAGAAACAAUUUUUGAGUCAAAUAAGAGUUUAUUCUGAGCCAAAUAACAAGAAACCAACGCUGAAAUAGCUGAUAAUUGAAGCGACGUGCUAAGCCAAGUUGAAAUAGCUGAUAAUUGAAGCGACGCUGCAGGGAGCUACGCCACACUUCUCUACAAGAAACCAACGCUGAAAUUGCUGAUAAUAUUACAAUCACAUAGGAGUAUAGAACAGUAAAACAUUCUUAAGCCAAGUUGUUGUAACAUGUUGUGCUGAUGCAUGCAAACUGCAAGUAGGUACUGUACACUCCUAACAAAAACACGUCAAUGGUAAAUAAACAUGCUGCUACGUAGUAGUGCAGUCAGAGGUAACCACAUACUAUUAUAUGCUGUACGUAAGCAGGCUGAUAAGCUCAUUGGCCAGGGAAAUUGGGAAAAGGCAUCUCACUUUUCACUGACCACACGGAUUAGGAAGAUGCUGUCAAGCUGAAACACUGCUACGACUGGUAACAGUUUUGAGAGUUAAACUACUACUAGCGGUGUGAUUGGUGAAUGCCUGAAUGGUGAUGCCCCAACUAAUGCUCUCGAUCUCAAGAAUUUGACACAGCAAGGCCACAUCCGCUCCUCUCUUAGUUAUUAGAACAGAAAUUGGAUCUCUCUGAAUAAAGAAACAGAGGGAAAGAUAAACAAAUCCGAUCCGGAGGACCAGUAUAUAUGUUGUUGUUCGGAGGCCAUGGCUGCUUCCCCUGUCCUGCUCGUCACCGCUGGGCUCUGCCUCUGCGCGUUGUUGCUCAGAGCAGGGGAGGCGGCGACGAGGGGAGGAGCAGCGGUGGUGGAAGCAGCAGCGUCGUCGGCAUUCCGCAGCAGGGCGACGGACCCAAACAUGGAGGUGAAGUUCGACUUCUCGCCGUUCCUAAUCCAGUACAAGAGCGGCCGCGUGCAGCGGUUAAUGGGCACGACGUUCGUCCCGGCGUCCAUGGACUCGCGCACCGGGGUGGCCUCCAGGGACGUCGUCGUGGACCACAGGACGGGCCUCGCGGUGCGGCUGUACCGGCCGAGCCGUCGCCCCGUGGCCGCCAGUGGCGGAGGCGGAGGCGGGAGGAGGCUCCCCGUGCUCGUCUACUUCCACGACGGCGCGUUCGUGGUGGAGUCGGCAUUCGACCCCGUGUACCACAACUACCGGAACGCACUUCGCGGUGCCGCGCCGAAGGAGCUGGCCCGCCUGUGGAGCCUGCGGGUGCUCGACCUCAGCGCGAACGCACCAAGAGUCGCCGACGCGCGCGUCGUCGCCCAGCGAUCAAUCGCAACCACCAUGCCCAAGAUCCAAGAACCCUACAGGAGGGAGAGAAGACGAGGACGAAGGGGAGAGCGAGGGAUCACCGGCGAGAAGGACGAAGAAGGGGAAGGACGUAGGGUUGGAGUCGGUCGCGUCGCCGUCGUCUCGCACCGCCCCGCCGUCGCCGCCGUCGCCUCCACUACGGCCUGUAGCUGCGGGGUCUCGACUGCUCGUGGUGCUCGACUGCGCCGUCUCAGGCCUGACUCCGUUCCGGAGGGUAGGAGGUCGGGCUUUGUUCC